CAGGAAAAGCCUCUAAGCAUCAGGUAACAUCAAAUCGUACCCCAAACCGACACAGGUGGUCAGGUAGAGAAUACCAAGGCGCUUGAGAGAACUCGGGUGAAGGAACUAGGCAAAAUGGUGCCGUAACUUCGGGAGAAGGCACGCUGGUGUGUAGGUGAAGUCCCUGCGGAUGGAGCUGAGACCAGUCGAAGAUACCAGCUGGCUGCAACUGUUUAUUAAAAACACAGCACUGUGCAAACACGAAAGUGGACGUAUACGGUGUGACGCCUGCCCGGUGCCGGAAGGUUAAUUGAUGGGGUUAUCCGUAAGGAGAAGCUCUUGAUCGAAGCCCCGGUAAACGGCGGCCGUAACUAUAACGGUCCUAAGGUAGCGAAAUUCCUUGUCGGGUAAGUUCCGACCUGCACGAAUGGCGUAAUGAUGGCCAGGCUGUCUCCACCCGAGACUCAGUGAAAUUGAACUCGCUGUGAAGAUGCAGUGUACCCGCGGCAAGACGGAAAGACCCCGUGAACCUUUACUAUAGCUUGACACUGAACAUUGAGCCUUGAUGUGUAGGAUAGGUGGGAGGCUUUGAAGCGUGGACGCCAGUCUGCGUGGAGCCAACCUUGAAAUACCACCCUUUAAUGUUUGAUGUUCUAACGUUGGCCCCUUACCGGGGUUGCGGACAGUGUCUGGUGGGUAGUUUGACUGGGGCGGUCUCCUCCCAAAGCGUAACGGAGGAGCACGAAGGUUAGCUAAUCCUGGUCGGACAUCAGGAGGUUAGUGCAAUGGCAUAAGCUAGCUUGACUGCGAGCGUGACGGCGCGAGCAGGUGCGAAAGCAGGUCAUAGUGAUCCGGUGGUUCUGAAUGGAAGGGCCAUCGCUCAACGGAUAAAAGGUACUCCGGGGAUAACAGGCUGAUACCGCCCAAGAGUUCAUAUCGACGGCGGUGUUUGGCACCUCGAUGUCGGCUCAUCACAUCCUGGGGCUGAAGUAGGUCCCAAGGGUAUGGCUGUUCGCCAUUUAAAGUGGUACGCGAGCUGGGUUUAGAACGUCGUGAGACAGUUCGGUCCCUAUCUGCCGUGGGCGCUGGAGAAUUGAGGGGGGCUGCUCCUAGUACGAGAGGACCGGAGUGGACGCAUCACUGGUGUUCGGGUUGUCAUGCCAAUGGCACUGCCCGGUAGCUAAAUGCGGAAGAGAUAAGUGCUGAAAGCAUCUAAGCACGAAACUUGCCCCGAGAUGAGUUCUCCCUGAGACUUUAAGUCUCCUGAAGGAACGUUGAAGACGACGACGUUGAUAGGCCGGGUGUGUAAGCGCAGCGAUGCGUUGAGCUAACCGGUACUAAUGAACCGUGAGGCUUAACCUU
rnacentral:rRNA from 1 species